GACGAACGCUGGCGGCGUGCUUAACACAUGCAAGUCGAACGGAAAGGCCCUUCUUUUGUGGGGUGCUCGAGUGGCGAACGGGUGAGUAACACGUUAUUAACUUGCCUUUGACUUUGGGAUAACUUCAUGAAACUGGUGCUAAUACUGGAUAGCUGCUCCUGCUUCAUGGUUGGGGUUGUAUAGUUUCGGCGGUUGGGGAUGGACUCGCGGCUUAUCAGCUUGUUGGUGGGGUAUUGGCUUACCAAGGCGUUGACGGGUAGCCGGCCUGAGAGGGUGACCGGCCACAUUGGGACUGAGAUACGGCCCAGACUCCUACGGGAGGCAGCAGUGGGGAAUAUUGCACAAUGGGCGGAAGCCUGAUGCAGCAACGCCGCGUGCGGGAUGACGGCCUUCGGGCUGUAAACCGCUUUCGCCUGUGACGAAGCGUGAGUGACGGUAAUGGGAAAAGAAGCACCGGCUAACUACGUG
rnacentral:rRNA from 1 species